rfam:Clostridium ultunense Esp genomic scaffold, CTLT_3033
ACAAUGAUACUCCCCUAUAGCCACCGUCCGAGCGUUAAAAGCGUCGCAGGCAAUGGGUAGGGUUUCAGCAGAAUGCUGGAAGGGUAAACCCCCGUGG